UACAGAGGUCCCAAGCGUUGUUCGGAUUCAUUGGGCGUAAAGGGUGCGUAGGUGGCGUCGUAAGUCGGGUGUGAAAUCUCGGGGCUUAACUCCGAAACUGCAUUCGAUACUGCGGUGCUUGAGGACUGGAGAGGAGACUGGAAUUUACGGUGUAGCGGUGAAAUGCGUAGAUAUUGGGAGGAACACCAGUGGCGAAGGCGGCUCACUGGACCGGAACUGACGCUGAGGCGCGAAAGCGUGGGGAGCAAACAGG
rnacentral:rRNA from 1 species